rnacentral:rRNA from 1 species
UACGGAGGAUGCAAGCGUUAUCCGGAAUUAUUGGGCGUAAAGCGUCCGCAGGUGGUUAUCCAAGUCUGCUGUUAAAGCGCGAGGCUUAACUUCGUACAGGCAGUGGAAACUGGGUGACUGGAGUAUGGUAGGGGUAGCGGGAAUUCCUGGUGUAGCGGUGAAAUGCGUAGAGAUCAGGAAGAACAUCGGUGGCGAAGGCGCUCUGCUGGACCAUAACUGACACUCAGGGACGAAAGCUAGGGGAGCGAACGGG